UACGUAGGGCGCAAGCGUUAUCCGGAAUUAUUGGGCGUAAAGAGCUCGUAGGCGGUUUGUCGCGUCUGCCGUGAAAGUCCGGGGUUCAACUCCGGAUCUGCGGUGGGUACGGGCAGACUAGAGUGAUGUAGGGGAGACUGGAAUUCCUGGUGUAGCGGUGAAAUGCGCAGAUAUCAGGAGGAACACCGAUGGCGAAGGCAGGUCUCUGGGCAUUAACUGACGCUGAGGAGCGAAAGCGUGGGGAGCGAACAGG
rnacentral:rRNA from 1 species